rnacentral:rRNA from 1 species
GAUGAACGCUAGCUACAGGCUUAACACAUGCAAGUCGAGGGGAAACGAUAUUGGAAGCUUGCUUACGAUAGGCGUCGACCGGCGCACGGGUGAGUAACGCGUAUCCAACCUGCCCACCACUUGGGGAUAACCUUGCGAAAGUAAGACUAAUACCCAAUGACGUCCAUAGAAGACAUCUGAAAUGGAUUAAAGAUUUAUCGGUGAUGGAUGGGGAUGCGUCUGAUUUGCUUGUUGGCGGGGGAACGGCCCACCAAGGCGACGAUCAGUAGGGGUUCUGAGAGGAAGGUCCCCCACAUUGGAACUGAGACACGGUCCAAACUCCUACGGGAGGCAGCAGUGAGGAAUGUUGGUCAAUGGGCGAGAGCCUGAACCAGCCAAGUAGCGUGCAGGAUGACGGCCCUAUGGGUUGUAAUCUGCUUUUAUAAGGAAAUAAAGUGAGCCUCGUGAGGCUUUUUGCAUGUACCUUAUGAAUAAGGACCGGCUAAUUCCGUGCCAGCCGCCGCAGUAA